AGCGAACGCUGGUGGCAGGCCUAACACAUGCAAGUCGAGCGCCGUAGCAAUACGGAGCGGCAGACGGGAGAGUAACACGUGGGAACGUACCCUUCAGUACGGAACAACCAAGGGAAACUUUGGCUAAUACCGUAUACGUCCGUAAGGAGAAAGAUUUAUCGCUGAAGGAUCGGCCCGCGUCUGAUUAGCUUGUUGGUGAGGUAACGGCUCACCAAGGCGACGAUCAGUAGCUGGUCUGAGAGGAUGAUCAGCCUCACUGGGACUGAGACACGGCCCAGACUCCUACGGGAGGCAGCAGUGGGGAAUAUUGGACAAUGGGCGCAAGCCUGAUCCAGCCAUGCCGCGUGGGUGAUGAAGGCCCUAGGGUUGUAAAGCCCUUUCGGCGGGGAAGAUAAUGACGGUACCCGCAGAAGAAGCCCCGGCUAACUUCGUGCCAGCAGCCGCAGUAAAAC
rnacentral:rRNA from 1 species